rnacentral:rRNA from 1 species
UCCAGACUCCUACGGGAGGCAGCAGUGGGGAAUAUUGGGCAAUGGGCGCAAGCCUGACCCAGCAAUGCCGCGUGAAGGAAGAAGGCCUUCGGGUUGUAAACUUCUUUUAUCAGGGACGAAGGAUGUGACGGUACCUGAUGAAUAAGCUCCGGCUAACUACGUGCCAGCAGCCGCGGUAAUACGUAGGGAGCAAGCGUUAUCCGGAUUUACUGGGUGUAAAGGGCGCGUAGGCGGGAUGGCAAGUCAGAUGUGAAAUCCCCGCGCUCAACGUGGGAACUGCCUUUGAAACUGGCAAACUGGAGUGUGUGAGAGGAUAGUGGAAUUCCAGGUGUAGGAGUGAAAUCCGUAGAUAUCUGGAGGAACAUCAGUGGCGAAGGCGACUAUCUGGCACAUAACUGACGCUGAGGAGCGAAAGCGUGGGUAGCAAACAGGAUUAGAUACCCCAGUA